UCGCCCCAACGGCUUCCUGACGUGGCGAUUUAACAUAAUUGGAGCG
rnacentral:ncRNA from 1 species